rnacentral:tRNA from 2 species
GCCCAGAUGGUGAAAUCGGUAGACACGCUAGUUUCAGGGACUAGUGCUCGUAAGGGUGUGCAAGUUCGAGUCUUGUUCUGGGCACCA